rnacentral:rRNA from 1 species
UACGGAGGGCGCAAGCGUUGUCCGGAAUUAUUGGGCGUAAAGAGCUCGUAGGCGGUUUGUCGCGUCUGCUGUGAAAACCUAAGGCUCAACCUUGGGCUUGCAGUGGGUACGGGCAGACUAGAGUGCGGUAGGGGUGACUGGAAUUCCUGGUGUAGCGGUGGAAUGCGCAGAUAUCAGGAGGAACACCGAUGGCGAAGGCAGGUCACUGGGCCGCAACUGACGCUGAGGAGCGAAAGCAUGGGGAGCGAACAGG